rnacentral:rRNA from 1 species
UAGUCCUAGCCGUAAACGAUGGACACUAGAUGUCGGGACUGUUAUGGUUUCGGUGUCGCAGCUAACGCAUUAAGUGUCCCGCCUGGGGAGUACGCUCGCAAGGGUGAAACUCAAAGGAAUUGACGGGGGCCCGCACAAGCGGUGGAGUAUGUGCUUUAAUUCGAUGCAACGCGAAGAACCUUACCUGGUCUUGACAUGGGGAUGAAAGCCUUUAGAGAUAGAGGCCCUCUCUUCGGAGACAUUCUACACAGGUGCUGCAUGGUUGUCGUCAGCUCGUGUCGUGAGAUGUUGGGUUAAGUCCCGCAACGAGCGCAACCCCUGUCCUUAGUUGCCAUCAGGUAAUGCUGGGAACUCUAAGGAGACUGCCUGGGAUCAACCAGGGGGAAGGUGGGGGAUGACGUCAAAUCAUCAUGGCCCUUACGACCAGGGGCUAGGACACGUACUACAAUGGGACGGUACAAAGGGGAUGCUAAACUGUGAAGUCACGCUAAUCCCAAAAAACCGUUCUACAGUU